rfam:Lactobacillus nasuensis JCM 17158 NODE_5, whole genome shotgun sequence.
UGCGGUGGCGAUAGCGAGAAGGAUACACCUGUUCCCAUGCCGAACACAGAAGUUAAGCUUCUCUACGCCGAGAGUAGUUGGUGGGUGACUGCCUGCGAGGGUAGGAAGCUGCCGCGC